rnacentral:rRNA from 1 species
GACGAACGCUGGCGGCGUGCUUAACACAUGCAAGUCGAGCGGUAAGGCCCUUUCGGGGUACGACGAGUGGCGAACGGGUAGAGUAACAACGUGGGUGGACCUCGCCCUCAGCUCUGGGAGUAAGCCUGGGAAACCGGGUACUAAUACCGGAUAUGACUCCAUGACGCAUGUUGUGGGGUGGAAAGCCUUGUGCGGCUGAGGAUGGGCCC